CUCUGAGCGUUGCAGCUGGAAGUCUAGUGAAUCCUAUUACUUAGAGGAAGGAGAAGUCGUAACAAGGUUUCCGUAGGUGAACCUGCGGAAGGAUCAUUU
rnacentral:rRNA from 1 species